GCAACAAGUAGGGCGGGACACGAGAAAUCCUGUUUGAAGAUGGGGGGACCAUCCUCCAAGGCUAAAUACUCCUGAUUGACCGAUAGUGAACCAGUACUGUGAAGGAAAGGCGAAAAGAACCCCAGUGAGGGGAGUGAAAUAGAACCUGAAACCGUGUACGUACAAGCAGUGGGAGCCCGAAAGGGUGACUGCGUACCUUUUGUAUAAUGGGUCAGCGACUUAUAUUUUGUAGCGAGGUUAACUGAAUAAGGGAGCCGAAGGGAAACCGAGUCUUAACUGGGCGGCUAGUUGCAAGGUAUAGACCCGAAACCCGGUGAUCUAGCCAUGGGCAGGUUGAAGGUUGGGUAACACUAACUGGAGGACCGAACCGACUAAUGUUGAAAAAUUAGCGGAUGACUUGUGGCUGGGGGUGAAAGGCCAAUCAAACCGGGAGAUAGCUGGUUCUCCCCGAAAUCUAUUUAGGUAGAGCCUUAUGUGAAUACCUUCGGGGGUAGAGCACUGUUUCGGCUAGGGGUCCAUCCCGGAUUACCAACCCGAUGCAAACUGCGAAUACCGAAGAGUAAUGCAUAGGAGACACACAGUGGGUGCUAACGUCCAUCGUGGAGAGGGAAACAACCCAGACCGCCAGCUAAGGUCCCAAAGUCUAUAUUAAGUGGGAAACGAAGUGGGAAGGCUUAGACAGCUAGGAUGUUGGCUUAGAAGCAGCCACCAUUUAAAGAAAGCGUAAUAGCUCACUAGUCGAGUCGGCCUGCGCGGAAGAUGUAACGGGGCUAAAAUAUAGCACCGAAGCUGCGGCAUCAGGCGUAUCACAAAUACGCCUUCGAUUAACAACAUCGAAUGAAGUGAAACGGAAUAAGAUGUUGGUCAAGCACCCAACACGUUGAGUUGGCAUAAAGUGCGGAUAGAAAUCAGAGGAAUAUUUGUGAUACGCCUGUUGGGUAGGGGAGCGUUGUGUAAGUCGAUGAAGGUGUAUUGAGAAGUAUGCUGGAGAUAUCACAAGUGCGAAUGCUGACAUAAGUAACGAUAAAACGAGUGAAAAACUCGUUCGCCGGAAGACCAAGGGUUCCUGUCCAACGUUAAUCGGGGCAGGGUGAGUCGGCCCCUAAGGCGAGGCUGAAAAGCGUAGUCGAUGGGAAACGGGUUAAUAUUCCCGUACUUGGUAAAGCUGCGAUGUGGGGACGGAGAAGGUUAGGUUAGCAGACUGUUGGAUGUCUGUUUAAGUUGGUAGGUGGGGAGUUUAGGCAAAUCCGGACUUCCAUAACACUGAGAGAUGAUGACGAGUUUCUACGGAAAUGAAGUAACUGAUACCACGCUUCCAGGAAAAGCCACUAAGCGAAAGGCUUUACUAAACCGUACUGAAAACCGACACAGGUGGUCAGGUAGAGAAUACUCAGGCGCUUGAGAGAACUCGGGUGAAGGAACUAGGCAAAAUAGCACCGUAACUUCGGGAGAAGGUGCGCUGGCGUAGGUUGUAAGAGUAUACCUCCGAAGGCUGAACCAGUCGAAGAUACCAGCUGGCUGCAACUGUUUAUUAAAAACACAGCACUCUGCAAACACGAAAGUGGACGUAUAGGGUGUGAUGCCUGCCCGGUGCUGGAAGGUUAAUUGAUGGUGUUAUCGAAAG
rnacentral:rRNA from 1 species